UCCCAACCCUUGUCCUUGUUGAAGAUGAUGGCUGCACCAAGACUACGAGCCGGGUUGAUACCGGUUCCGGUGAUUGGGAUGGUGGCUAAGUGCACCAAAAAAACUGCGAAUCCAAUUGGCAAGGGUGCCAGAAUCUAGCAAACAACACAAGUUUAAGUGAUGGAUUCAUAGUUUAAACUCUAAAUUUCAUCAUAUAUUCAAUUU